rnacentral:rRNA from 1 species
CAGCAGUGAGGAAUCUUCCACAAUGGGCGAAAGCCUGAUGGAGCAACGCCGCGUGAAGGAUGAAGGCCUUCGGGUUGUAAACUUCUUUUAUGAGUGAAGAAUAUGACGGUAACUCAUGAAUAAGCACCGGCUAACUACGUGCCAGCAGCCGCGGUCAUACGUAGGGUGCAAGCAUUAUCCGGAGUGACUGGGCGUAAAGAGUUGCGUAGGCGGUUUAAUAAGUGAAUAGUGAAACCUGGUGGCUCAACCAUACAGACUAUUAUUCAAACUGUUAAACUCGAGAGUAGUAGAGGUAACUGGAAUUUCUAGUGUAGGAGUGAAAUCCGUAGAUAUUAGAAGGAACACCAAUGGCGUAGGCAGGUUACUGGACUAUUUCUGACGCUAAGGCACGAAAGCGUGGGGAGCGAACUGGAUUAGAUACCCAGGUAGUCCACGCCGUAAACGAUGGAUACUAGCUGUUGGAGGUAUCGACCCCUUCAGUAGCGAAGCUAACGCGUUAAGUAUCCCGCCUGUGGAGUACGGUCGCAAGACUAAAACAUAAAGGAAUUGACGGGGACCCGCACAAGCGGUGGAUCGUGUUCUUUAAUUCGAUGCUAAACGAAGAACCUUACCAGGGCUUGACAUCCAGGGAAUUUUUGGGAAACCAAUUAGUGCCUUUUGGAACCCUGUGACAGGUGAUGCAUGGCCGUCGUCAGCUCGUGUCGUGAGAUGUUUGGUUAAGUCCAUCAACGAGCGCAACCCUUGUGAAUAGUUGAAUUUUUCUAUUCAGACUGCCCCGGCAACGGGGAGGAAGGAGGGGAUGAUGUCAGGUCAGUAUUUCUCUUACAUCCUGGGCUAGAAACGUGAUACAAUGGCAAGUACAAUGCGCAGCGAAGCCGCGAGGUGAAGCAAAUCGCACCAAAGCUUGUCCCAGUUCGGAUUGGAGGCUGAAACUCGCCUCCAUGAAGUCGGAAUCGCUAGUAAUCGCAGAUCAGCAAGCUGCGGUGAAUACGUUCCCGGGUCUUGUACACACCGCCCGUCAAACCAUGAAAGUGACCAACACCCGAAGUCCGAUUCGUCGGCCUAAGGUGGGGGGCAUGAUUGGGGUUAAGUCGUAACAAGGUAUCCGUACCGGAAGGUGCGGAUG